AUGCGCAGCCUAUACAUGCAAGUCGAACGAGACCUUCGGGUCUAGUGGCGCACGGGUGCGUAACGCGUGGGAAUCUGCCCUUGGGUUCGGAAUAACGUCGGGAAACUGACGCUAAUACCGGAUGAUGACGAAAGUCCAAAGAUUUAUCGCCCAGGGAUGAGCCCGCGUAGGAUUAGCUAGUUGGUGAGGUAAAGGCUCACCAAGGCGACGAUCCUUAGCUGGUCUGAGAGGAUGAUCAGCCACACUGGGACUGAGACACGGCCCAGACUCCUACGGGAGGCAGCAGUAGGGAAUAUUGGACAAUGGGGGCAACCCUGAUCCAGCAAUGCCGCGUGAGUGAUGAAGGCCUUAGGGUUGUAAAGCUCUUUUACCCGAGAUGAUAAUGACAGUAUCGGGAGAAUAAGCUCCGGCUAACUCCGUGCCAGCAGCCGCGGUAAUACGGAGGGAGCUAGCGUUGUUCGGAAUUACUGGGCGUAAAGCGUGCGUAGGCGGCUUUUUAAGUCGGAUGUGAAAUCCCCGAGCUUAACUUGGGAAUUGCAUUCGAUACUGGAUCACUAAAUGGGGUAAAAGGAUGCGGAAUUUCUGGGGAACAUGAAAUGCGUAAAAAUCAAAAGGAACUUCCUGGCAAAGCGGGCUUCUUGGGCCAACCUUGACCUUGAGCCCAAAGCUUGGGGACCAAACGGGUUAAAUACCCGGGAGCCCUGGCCGUAAACAAUGUCCACUUACCCGUUGGGGCCCUUUGGGGCUUUAAGGGGCCACCUUAACCCGAAAAAUAAACCCCCCGGGGGGAAAACGGUCCCCNACUUAAACCCCCAAUGAAUUUUCGGGGGCCCCCCCAAACCGGGGGAGCAGGGGGUUUAAUUUCNGUGCCNCCCCGNNAGAAAUUNNCCCNGNCUUGGAAAAAAAAAAAAACUUCUCCCAAAAGAGUAUGUGUCUCUUCCGGGAANUUAUNNNNANGGGGGGNCGAGNGNNGUCCCCCCCCCCCCCCCGCNNNGGNGAGAAGUUGNGNUNNNUCUCCCCAAAGANGAGAGNACACCUUUUUUUUUUUUUUUUUUNNGCCCCCNNUNNGGGGAAACUUACAAAUGGAGUGUGCNCGNNNNANACCAUNGNNNNNNGGCCUGGCACGANNNACUUAUNAUAUUUUUUGGCGNNCCCNC
rnacentral:rRNA from 1 species